rnacentral:rRNA from 1 species
AGUGUAGGCGGGAUAUCAAGUCAGAAGUGAAAAUUACGGGCUCAACUCGUAACCUGCCUUUGAAACUGACAUUUUUGAGUGAAGUAGAGGCAAGCGGAAUUCCUAGUGUAGCGGUGAAAUGCGUAGAUAUUAGGAGGAACACCAGUGGCGAAGGCGGCUUGCUGGGCUUUUACUGACGCUGAGGCUCGAAAGCGUGGGGAGCAAACA